UCCUUGGCGGUUCAGUGGUUUAGACCUCUGUGCUUCCAAUGCAGGGUGCCUGGGUUUGAUCCCUGGUCAGGGAA
rnacentral:tRNA from 1 species